rnacentral:rRNA from 1 species
AUUGAACGCUGGCGGCAUGCCUUACACAUGCAAGUCGAACGGCAGCACGGGAGCAAUCCUGGUGGCGAGUGGCGAACGGGUGAGUAAUAUAUCGGAACGUGCCCAGUCGUGGGGGAUAACGCAGCGAAAGCUGUGCUAAUACCGCAUACGAUCUACGGAUGAAAGCGGGGGAUCGCAAGACCUCGCGCGAUUGGAGCGGCCGAUAUCAGAUUAGCUAGUUGGUGAGGUAAAGGCUCACCAAGGCGACGAUCUGUAGCUGGUCUGAGAGGACGACCAGCCACACUGGAACUGGGACACGGUCCAGACUCCUACGGGAGGCAGCAGUGGGGAAUUUUGGACAAUGGGCGAAAGCCUGAUCCAGCAAUGCCGCGUGCAGGAUGAAGGCCUUCGGGUUGUAAACUGCUUUUGUACGGAACGAAACGGUGAGCUCUAAUACAGUUUGCUAAUGACGGUACCGUAAGAAUAAGCACCGGCUAACUACGUGCCAGCAGCCGCGGUAACAC